rnacentral:rRNA from 1 species
CAGUCGCCGCGGUAAUACGUAGGGUGCGAGCGUUAAUCGGAAUUACUGGGCGUAAAGCGUGCGCAGGCGGUUUUGUAAGACAGGCGUGAAAUCCCCGGGCUCAACCUGGGAAUGGCGCUUGUGACUGCAAAGCUAGAGUGCGGCAGAGGGGGAUGGAAUUCCGCGUGUAGCAGUGAAAUGCGUAGAUAUGCGGAGGAACACCGAUGGCGAAGGCAGCUGCCUGGCCUAAUACUGACGCUGAGGUGUGAAAGCGUGGGGAGCGAACGGGAUUAGAUACCCGUGUAGUCCCUGUCUCUUAUAC